GACGAACGCUGGCGGCGUGCUUAACACAUGCAAGUCGAACGGUAAGGCCCUUUCGGGGGUACACGAGUGGCGAACGGGUGAGUAACACGUUGGUGAUCGGCCCUGCACUUGGGGAUAAGCCUUGGAAACUGGGUCUAAUACCGGAUAGGACUACGCGAUGCAUGUCGUGUGGUGGAGAGCUUUUGCGGUUUGGGAUGGGCCCGCGGCCUAUCAGCUUGUUGGUGGGGUGAUGGCCUACCAAGGCGACGACGGGUAGCCGGCCUGAGAGGGAGUCCGGCCACACUGGGCCUGAGAUACGGCCCAGACUCAUAAGGGAGGAAGGGGUGCGGAAUAUUGCACAACGUGCGCAAGCCUGAUGGAGCGCCGCCGCGUGGGGGAUGACGGCCUUCGGGUAGUAAAGCACUUUCAGCAAAGACGAAGCGCAAGUGCGGGUAUGUGAAGAAGAAGCCCCGGUAACCUACGU
rnacentral:rRNA from 1 species